rnacentral:rRNA from 1 species
UCCAGACUCCUACGGGAGGCAGCAGUGGGGAAUAUUGCACAAUGGGGGGAACCCUGAUGCAGCGACGCCGCGUGGGUGAAGGAGUACUUCGGUACGUAAAGCCCUAUCAGCAGGAAAGAAGAAAUGACGGUACCUGAAUAAGAAGCACCGGCUAAAUACGUGCCAGCAGCCGCGGUAAUACGUAUGGUGCAAGCGUUAUCCGGAUUUACUGGGCGUAAAGGGAGCGCAGGCGGCGCGCCAAGUCUGAUGUGAAACCCCGGGGCUCAACCCCGGGCAUGCAUUGGAAACUGGCGGGCUGGAGUGCCGGAGAGGUAAGCGGAAUUCCUAGUGUAGCGGUGAAAUGCGUAGAUAUUAGGAGGAACACCAGUGGCGAAGGCGGCUUACUGGACGGCAACUGACGCUGAGGCUCGAAAGCGUGGGGAGCAAACAGGAUUAGAUACCCGAGUAC